GAAAUGCGAUAAGUAAUGUGAAUUGCAGAAUUCAGUGAAUCAUCGAAUCUUUGAACGCACAUUGCGCCCGCCAGUAUUCUGGCGGGCAUGCCUGUUCGAGCGUCAUUUCAACCAUCAAGCCCCAGGCUUGUGUUGGGGACCUGCGGCUGCCCGCAGGCCCUGAAAACCAGUGGCGGGCUCGCUGUCACCCCGGUCGUAGUAGUAUCAUCUCGUCCAGGGCGUGGCUGCGGGCUCCGGCCGUUAAAAAGCCUUUUUUACCCAAGGUUGACCUCGGAUCAGGUAGGAAGACCCGCUGAACUUAA
rnacentral:misc_RNA from 1 species